CUAUCAGUAGCAAACGGGCUUCGUUGUCACCCAUUUGUUUUCGAUGAUGGAGUCUCCAAAUCGACGAUCAGCACCGUUAAACAUUAUCUAUACCACUCAAACUAUCUAGAAACCAAAUUUUAUGUUUUUUCGAUAUUGUUUUCUUGUCCAUUAAGUGAACGCAAAAAUGAACGGCUGAAAAUGAAUAUCUUCUAAAAAGUGCUGAUAGAAAUUUUAUAAUCAAGAUCGAAAGUAUAAAUCUUGUUCUAAAUAGUUUAAAAAAUUUUCUAACCAAAAUUCAAUUAACUUAAAUAGUUUGAUACCAUUAAACAAAAAAAGCCUCAUAUCUGCCAUUAAAAUUACCAAUUUUGAAACUCUUUGAUCAUUAGGUUAAUGAUGCCAAAAAGAUUUGAAAUUUGGUUUCUAUAUCUUUCAAGUGGUAU
rnacentral:lncRNA from 1 species